rnacentral:rRNA from 1 species
AGUGAACGCUGGCGGUAGGCCUAACACAUGCAAGUCGAACGGCAGCACAGUAAGAGCUUGCUCUUACGGGUGGCGAGUGGCGGACGGGUGAGGAAUACAUCGGAAUCUACUUUUUCGUGGGGGAUAACGUAGGGAAACUUACGCUAAUACCGCAUACGACCUACGGGUGAAAGCAGGGGAUCUUCGGACCUUGCGCGAUUGAAUGAGCCGAUGUCGGAUUAGCUAGUUGGCGGGGUAAAGGCCCACCAAGGCGACGAUCCGUAGCUGGUCUGAGAGGAUGAUCAGCCACACUGGAACUGAGACACGGUCCAGACUCCUACGGGAGGCAGCAGUGGGGAAUAUUGGACAAAGGGCGCAAGCCUGAUCCAGCCAUACCGCGUGGGUGAAGAAGGCCUUCGGGUUGUAAAGCCCUUUUGUUGGGAAAGAAAAGCAGCAGGUUAAUACCCCGCUGUUCUGACGGUUCCCAAAGAAUAAGCACCGGCUAACUUCGUG